rnacentral:rRNA from 1 species
GACGAACGCUGGCGGCGUGCUUAACACAUGCAAGUCGAACGGAAAGGCCCUGCUUUUGUGGGGUGCUCGAGUGGCGAACGGGUGAGUAACACGUGAGUAACCUGCCCUUGACUUUGGGAUAAAUUCAGGAAACUGGGGCUAAUACCGGAUAGGAGCUCCUGCUGCAUGGUGGGGGUUGGAAAGUUUCGGCGGUUGUGGAUGGACUCGCGGCUUAUCAGCUUGUUGGUGGGGUAGUGGCUUACCAAGGCUUUGACGGGUAGCCGGCCUGAGAGGGUGACCGGCCACAUUGGGACUGAGAUACGGCCCAGACUCCUACGGGAGGCAGCAGUGGGGAAUAUUGCACAAUGGGCGGAAGCCUGAUGCAGCAACGCCGCGUGCGGGAUGACGGCCUUCGGGUUGUAAACCGCUUUCGCCGGUGACGAAGCGUGAGUGACGGUAAUGGGUAAAGAAGCACCGGCUAACUACGUG